rnacentral:lncRNA from 1 species
CGCCAUCCCACAGCAAGCGCCGCGUACGACUGCAAGAGUGCCGCGACGACCGGGGAAAGAACUGCGCGGUGACAGGUCGACGUAUCCGUGACAUACCAGACCGAGAGUAGAACGUACGUCCGCGACGGUUUCGGCAAGCUGAAACGUCAUUACAAUUUAAGAUCAUUCUCGAAGUACAAACGUGCAAAUUGUUAGGUAAUCUUCUGAUACGGGCGAUAGGCUGGUGGUUGAUAACAAUUCUCUUAAAAUUUAUUUAAUUUUUGCCGUCGUUAUUUGGAUAUAAGCGAUCAUCGACGAUUAAUCACCUAGUUUGAGGUUAAGUCAUAUCUGCAAACCUGCUGAACAGGGUGAUUGGGAGUGAAUUCAUCUCAAUCGAUGAUAGGUAGACAAAUGUAAGUGGGUUAAAUUUAACAUGCGAUUAGCUACUAAUAAAUUGAUUACAGCUUUUAGCACUUGGAACACCAGGACAGGGUGUCGGCUCAAAGGAUCGCCUUUCAUUU